ACGGGUGAGUAACACGUGAGUAACCUGCCCCUGACUCUGGGAUAAGCGUUGGAAACGACGUCUAAUACUGGAUAUGACUACUGGUCGCAUGGCCUGGUGGUGGAAAGAUUUUUUGGUUGGGGAUGGACUCGCGGCCUAUCAGCUUGUUGGUGAGGUAAUGGCUCACCAAGGCGACGACGGGUAGCCGGCCUGAGAGGGUGACCGGCCACACUGGGACUGAGACACGGCCCAGACUCCUACGGGAGGCAGCAGUGGGGAAUAUUGCACAAUGGGCGAAAGCCUGAUGCAGCAACGCCGCGUGAGGGAUGACGGCCUUCGGGUUGUAAACCUCUUUUAGUAGGGAAGAAGCGAAAGUGACGGUACCUGCAGAAAAAGCACCGGCUAACUACGUGCCAGCAGCCGCGGUAAUACGUAGGGUGCAAGCGUUGUCCGGAAUUAUUGGGCGUAAAGAGCUCGUAGGCGGUUUGUCGCGUCUGCUGUGAGAUCCCGAGGCUCAACCUCGGGCUUGCAGUGGGUACGGGCAGACUAGAGUGCGGUAGGGGAGAUUGGAAUUCCUGGU
rnacentral:rRNA from 1 species